rnacentral:rRNA from 1 species
GGUAAAAUCCGUAGAUAUCACCAAGAAUACCCAUUGCGAAGGCGAUCUGCUGGAACUCAACUGACGCUAAGGCGCGAAAGCGUGGGGAGCAAACAGGAUUAGAUACCCUGGUAGUCCACGCCCUAAACGAUGUACACUAGUUGUUGGGGUGCUAGUCAUCUCAGUAAUGCAGCUAACGCAUUAAGUGUACCGCCUGGGGAGUACGGUCGCAAGAUUAAAACUCAAAGGAAUAGACGGGGACCCGCACAAGCGGUGGAGCAUGUGGUUUAAUUCGAAGAUACGCGAAGAACCUUACCUGGGCUUGAUAUCCUAAGAACCUUUUAGAGAUAAGAGGGUGCUAGCUUGCUAGAACUUAGAGACAGGUGCUGCACGGCUGUCGUCAGCUCGUGUCGUGAGAUGUUGGGUUAAGUCCCGCAACGAGCGCAACCCACGUAUUUAGUUGCUAACGGUUCGGCCGAGCACUCUAAAUAGACUGCCUUCGUAAGGAGGAGGAAGGUGUGGACGACGUCAAGUCAUCAUGGCCCUUAUGCCCAGGGCGACACACGUGCUACAAUGGCAUAUACAAUGAGACGCAAUACCGCGAGGUGGAGCAAAUCUAUAAAAUAUGUCCCAGUUCGGAUUGUUCUCUGCAACUCGAGAGCAUGAAGCCGGAAUCGCUAGUAAUCGUAGAUCAGCCAUGCUACGGUGAAUACGUUCCCGGGUCUUGUACUCACCGCCCGUCACACCAUGGGAGUUGAUUUCACUCGAAGCCGGAAUACUAAACUAGUUACCGUCCACAGUGGAAUCAGCGACUGGGGUGAAGUCGUAACAAGGUAACCGUAGGAGAACCUGCGGUUGGAUCACCUCCUUU